GAUGAACGCUGGCGGCGUGCCUAACACAUGCAAGUCGAGCGUGAACCCUUAGAAUGAGACUUCGGUCGAAUGAAGAGGGGGAAAGCGGCGGACGGGUGAGUAACGCGUAGGCAACCUGCCCCGUACAGAGGGAUAACCUCGGGAAACCGGGAUUAAAACCUCAUAACACCAUGGUAUCACAUGAUGCAAUGGUCAAAGAUUUAUCGGUAUGGGAUGGGCCUGCGUCUGAUUAGCUGGUUGGUGGGGUAACGGCCUACCAAGGCAACGAUCAGUAGCCGACCUGAGAGGGUAAUCGGCCACAUUGGAACUGAGACACGGUCCAAACUCCUACGGGAGGCAGCAGUGGGGAAUAUUGCACAAUGGGCGAAAGCCUGAUGCAGCAACGCCGCGUGAGCGAAGAAGGCCUUUGGGUCGUAAAGCUCUGUCGGGAAGGAAGAUAAUGACGGUACUUCCCGAGGAAGCCCCGGCUAACUACGUGCCAGCAGCCGCGGUAAAACGUCUA
rnacentral:rRNA from 1 species